UGGUCUCUAGACAACCGUGGGGGUUCAGGUGCUCUGCAGAGUGGGCAGUGGCUGUCUCAGUACCUCCCUUCUCCUCUGCAGGCUGAGGCUCAAGCCCAGAAAACAUAUGAGUCACCCUGGCUUGGAGACCAGUCACAGUUCUGUCUCUCCCUAGAUAUGUGACUUUGUACACAUUUCCUAACCUUUCUGACUCCCCGUUUUAUCCCAAGGAGUCAGUGUUCAGUACUUGGUUCACAUAACAUCACAUACGAUUCAUAAAUGUAUUGAGAGCCUACUAUGUGCCAGACCCUUUGCAAAGCAACGACACUGCACAAUUUUUAACACAUUUGAAGUUUCUGCUUUCAGAUUGUGUGUAUGGAUUAUAUUGACCACCUACUAUGGGCCAGACAUUUUACAGAUAUCCUAAGGAAUUCUUAUAACCACCUGAUGUACUGAUCUUCAUCUCCAUGGGACAUACGUGGGACUAAGGCUCAGAGAGGCCAAGUAGCCUGUCCAAAGUCACCUACCUUUUCCCAUUUAGGACAUAAGGAAUGUGUUCUAGUGUGUUCCUUGAAGAGUCUCUCCUCGAAAGGCCCAGCCCCACCUAGGACUUUACUUGUUAAUGGAUCCCAGUGUUCAGGAUAACUUGUGGCAAGGGUUUGCCUCCAGACUUUUCAAAAGAUGGAUUGUGCUCCCAAAGCUACCACAGUCAGCAGUAAUCAGGCUCCAGCCUCAUGAGUGAAGAGAACCCCACCGCAGUUUCUUUGAGGGGUCAGUCACCGGUUGGGUUCAGCAGCAGUUCAAACACUAGUCUCCCCUGCUUGUAGGAGCAGCAAAUUUUACCUUCUCAUUUCAGACUCAGACUUUGGCAAGAGACCCGAGCGUGACUCCAAAGGCCCAGACUCACACACUGACCUAACCAAGCUGAGCCAUGGCCCCAGGCACCCAAGAAAGCCCUGCUGGGUCCCCAGCUGGGUCCCCUACUAGCUGCCCUUCCUGCCUGGGGCUCAGGGCCAGCUUCCUCCUCUCCUAAAUAAUGAAUUAGCUCGCGUCUGGGGUUUGUAAAUAAAGCAUACCUACCGGGAGAACCGGCCAUUUCCAAAGUUGCUUACUCAAAGGAGGAAAGCAAAAAGCAGAGUUUGAAGCCGUGGGUUGUUGGGCAAAGUUCAAGUAAAUCGAUAAAUGCAGGGCCAUCACCAGAGAAAAACUUACCCUGUUCAUGCCAGUUCCUCCUCCUCGACUGUGAAACUUUGUCACCAGGCAACAGGAGACCCAGGACCUGGAGUUAAUUAGCAUAAUCUUGAGGCCAGCCUGCAAAGUGGGAGCACAAUAGCUGAAACCAGACACCCCAAACUUCCAGGCCAGCUAGCUGCCCCAGAGGGACCCUGGACUGCCUGGGGCUUUCCUCCUGGCCUCCCCCAGCAGCGCAUGCGCCUUGGGGCACUUAGUUACCAGGCAGAGCAGGCUGUCCAUGGCCACCCCCGGGAAGUGGCUGUCCCUGCUAACAGGGAACAAAAGCUAUGUUUGCCUCUUUUAAGGGACCAAUAAUCUUACUUUUAUAUAAAGCAUUGAGUGAGUCCCGUGAAAUAUCAUUUGAUUUCCUUGUUGUUUGUCCAAAUAGCUUUUCCAGCUCUUUGAUUUGUGAGAGAGCAAUCUUUUCCCUGUUUACUUGAAUUUAAUUAGUUCUUGUAGUUUUCUUUUUGUGCCCUUUUUACACUAUUAAGUUACAACAACCAUGCUCGGAAAAACCAUACAAUCCUAUAGUCACUUUUUCCUCUAUUAAUAUUACAUCAAAGGCUGAUGUGUAAUUUCUAAAGUCUACCGUUCGACUGAAUGUGGAAAUACUGAAUCUAGUGGACUUUGCUUUUCCUGUUGUUUCCGGCGUGGCACUAUUGUGAAUAAGGUUGCAAUGAAUGUAUUUGUACAUUUAUAAUCUUUUUGUUUGUUUUUUCUUUAAAUUACAUUCCCAGAAAUUGAGAAAAUUGGCAACAAGUUUAAAUAUGAAAACUAUUAUGCAAAUAAUAACAUUGUAGAAAAAUUUGAAAAUGCAUACAUAGAAAUGAAGAAAUAAACAUCCUCUAAAUUGCGCUACCCAAAAAAAGCUAAGAAAUAAAGAAAAUAAUUAACAAAUAAAAAAUUGAAAUGCAAAAUUAAUCCGACCACUAUGCAUUUUGAAAAGUACAAAAAAGCAAAAUCAAACAGUUUAAAAUAAAAAUACAGUUAACCACAAAAACUUUAAAUAGAUGGAUACCACCACUGUUUUGUUUACUGAAAAACCAAAAGAAAAAAGAUCAUUUACUUUCGACGAUAAAUGGGUUUAAAAUAAUUAUCAAAUGCAGAUAAGUAGAAAAUUAAAAAUUACCUGAAGUUCUGCUACUCAGUGUAUUUCCAGUUAGACUAUUCGUAAAAGGACCUCAUUUAAAUUAGAAAAUAAAUAAUAUAAAAAUCAUAAAACACAGAUAAGCAUAAACAAAAUCAAUAUUUCUUUUAAAUUUUUAACAUUUAUUCAUUUUCGAGAGACAGAAGGAGACCAAGCAUGAGUGGGGGACGGGCAGAGAGAAAGGGAGACCGAAUCCAAAGCAGGCUCCAGGCUCUGAGCUGUCAGCACAGAGCCCUAUGCGGGGCUGGAACCCACGCUCCGCGAGAUCAUGACCUGAGCUGAAGCCGGACACUUAACCGAAUGAGCUACCCGGGUGCCCCAAAAUCAAUAUUUUAAGGAAGAAAAUACAGAAGGAGAUGAAUACAUUUUACAAUGCAGAUUUGUAAAACCUUAUGAAAGUAAAGCCGCUCAAUUUCAGCAACUCGAGGUAACUUCUGUUGGAUAUGCUUCCACUUUUAAUACACGUACACCUUCAUGUUUAUGCCAUGGGUAUGCAGUAAUAACUUGGCUACCUUGCUAAUGCUUACAUUUUUAACUUCAAAUUACACAAAUUACUGGUUUUUCAGGUAAAUGCCUUCUAAGUCAGCCAGAACUAAUAAGGCUUUUGUUGUUGUUGCUUUUUGGUUACUUUUGUUUUCUUUUCCCCUUCAGAGGAAAGAGCUUGUCUUCGGAGUCAGGGCCCUGGGUCAAGGUCUGAUCCCGGCAGUGUGUCGGGUAUUCACCGGACCUGCUCCAUGCCUGCUUGGGGUGGCUCCAGCAAGCUGUCACGAACUCCCCCUAGUCUGCAGGCCACUCCCUCACUGCACACGUCCAUUCUUCAUCUGUAAAUGGAAGUAAUGGCUACUACAUGGGGUCUUUGUGGGAAUGAGACAACGGGUAAAACGUCUUUGCAAUCUGUAAUGCGUUUGACAGUUAUUGGUAUUUUUAGGUCUGUGGGUGAAGGGGGUGGGAGAUACAGGCUUCCACUUAUGGAAAGAAUAAGUCACGAGAAUAAAAGGCACAAUGUAGGGAACCCAGUCAAUGGCAUUGUACUAGCGUUGUAUGGGGUCGGACGGCAGCCACACGUGUGGCAUAACGUAUACAGAUGUUGAAUCACUAUGUUGUACCCCUGAAACUAACAUAACAUCAUGUGUCAACUAUAUUCAAGUAAAAAAUAUAUAUAAAAAUUUUAAAAAAGAAGAAAAAAACAGUGUAGGAGUAUACACAAAUUCUCAAGUUAAAUGAAAUAAUAAGUCAGAAGUGGAAAAAUAAAAGACAACUACAUAAGUCAAGCACAUAAACAAAUAAAAAGCUAAAAACCAUGGCUCACCUUUGGUUAGGUGUCUUGGCACCACGGGUAAUGGUGUCCUUUGCUGAUGGCAGUGAAAUGAUGGAUCUUCCUUGGAGCUCAUAGCCGAUGAAAUGAGAAAUGGGACACUGACAUGCCUUUGUCUUCUGCACACCAUUCCACCUGGUGGCAAUGUCACAAAAGACCACCGGUAAAAUUCUAGAACACUUUGUGAAAUGGAAAAUGACAGAGGCUGUCUCUUAUUUCCUCAACUAUAAUAAGUACCUUUUGUUUCCUUCUUCCUGCUCCCUGCCCCAACCCCCUGUGAAACUUACACAAUACAGUAGCAAGACGAGCAAGCUUGGCCAUACUAACUCCACAUCCUUGUAACUCCACUGCCUCAGGAAGGGUCAGCACAUGUCCUUUUCAAGGUGGUGACCCUCACUGUCUCCAGCCUGGGCUCUGCCUGUGUUUGCAGCCUUCAAGGCAGACUGUCUUCCAGAACUAGGAUAGGUGGCAGGCUCACAGACUGAGCCAGAGAACCAAAUCUUCGCCUGAGCCUUUGCAACCUAAAGCAAUGAAUCCGACCAUGUUUUGCUUUUGUUCACUGUUACUGUUGUCUGCAGGGAUAACACAGACCAAAAAGAUGAUUUCUCUAUGGGGAGUGGGAGAGGAGAGGUAAAGCCCAGCCUGGGAGUUGCUUUCUGUUGCUAAAACACCUAGCUAGGAAAGAAUUGAAUGAAAAGGGUUGGGAAGCCUAAAACAGAGUAUAUGAUGGCCGCGGUGUGUGGUGGGAAGAUGAAGGGGCACUCGGGCAGCCUUGUCCAGAAGGAUCCUGGUGCAGUGCAUGGGGCUGGAGCAGAGAAUUCAUGUGGUGUCUGUGGGCACCUGAACGGGACUGAGGAAGAGGGAAUGGCCGGAAAGAGGAGACAUUAUUUGGUUUGCUUUGGUGAAACAUCUUGAGCAAGGUCUUGAGAGUACAGGGAGAGUCUAAAGGACACAGAGGGGAGAAGAAAUCAGAGCCAGAAGAGGAGCCAAGGUUUACCACAGAGGCCAAGGAGCCGGGCUCCACAAACCCCUGCUGUGCAGAAGAAGAGGUGUUUCAUGUGGCGAAAACCUCCUCCCCACGCCCUUCCCAGCUCCGGCCUCCUGUUGCACGUCUAAACUCUUUCCCCCUACAUUGGUCAAAAUCGUAUUUCUAUGGUUCGAUUUGUAUUUCUUCCUAAUUGUAUUUGUAGAAACAUAAAUCAGUCCAGGCUUUUAAGAGGACUAUUUGGCAAUAUGUAGCAAACUUUAAAAAAAAAAUGCUCAUACUUUUUAUCCCAGUAGUACGGCUGCCAAAACUUUCUCUCUUGGGUACACUCACAAAGUAUGCAGAGAUUUAUGUCCAGAAGUGGUCACGGAGAGGUCAUGUGUGAGGACAAAGCCCACCACAGAGUCAGGCUCAACCAGUUCUGAUCCAUGUGUGCAAUGGCGUCCUGAUGCUGUAGAAAUGAAUGCCACAGAACAAUGUGAGGUGACUCCACAUUGUUGGGAAGCCAGUGACAAGGCACAAAUAAGAUUAUCCACGUAUCAUCAAUUAAAAAAAAUACAAGGGGCGCCUGGGUGGCUCAGUCGGUUAAGCAUCGGACUUCAGCUCAGGUCAUGAUCUCAUGGUUUGUGAGUCUGAGCCCUGAAUCGGAGCUCAAACAGCUCAGAGCCUGGAGCCUUCUUCAGAUUCUGUGUCCCUGACUCUCUCUGCCCCUCCCCUGCUCACCCUCUGUCUCUCUCUCUCUCUCUCUCAAAAACAAGCACUAAAAAAAAUUUUUUUAAAUAUAGUGGGCAUGCCUGGGUGGCUUAGUUGGUUAAGAUCCUGACUCUUGAUUUUGGCUCAGGUCAUAAGCUCAUGGUUCGUGAGUUCGGGCCCUGCAUAGGGCUCUGCACUGACAAUGUGGAGCCUGCUUGAGAUCCUCUCUCUCCCUCUUUCUCUGCCCCUCCCCUGCUUGUGUUCUCUCUCUCUCUC